CAAGGAAUUUUCCCCAAUGGGCGCAAGCCUGAGGGAGCAACGCCGCGUGCAGGACGACGGCCUUCGGGUUGUAAACUGCUUUUGCGUGGGACGAUAACGACGGUACCACGCGAAUCAGCCCCGGCUAACUCUGUGCCAGCAGCCGCGGUAAUACGGAGGGUGCAAGCGUUGUCCGGAUUUAUUGGGUUUAAAGGGUACGUAGGCGGACUAUUAAGUCUGAGGUGAAAGCUUUCGGCUCAACCGGAAAAUUGCCUUGGAUACUGGUAGUCUUGAGUACAGUAGAGGUGGGCGGAAUUCAUGGUGUAGCGGUGAAAUGCAUAGAUACCAUGAGGAACACCGAUAGGGAAGCCAGCUCACUGGACUGUCACUGACGCUGAGGUACGAAAGCGUGGGGAGCGAACAGGAUUAGAUACCCCCGUAGUCC
rnacentral:rRNA from 1 species